rnacentral:rRNA from 1 species
UACGUAGGGUGCGAGCGUUAAUCGGAAUUACUGGGCGUAAAGCGUGCGCAGGCGGCUUUGCAAGACAGAUGUGAAAUCCCCGGGCUCAACCUGGGAACUGCAUUUGUGACUGCAAGGCUAGAGUACGGCAGAGGGGGGUGGAAUUCCGCGUGUAGCAGUGAAAUGCGUAGAUAUGCGGAGGAACACCAAUGGCGAAGGCAAUCCCCUGGGCCUGUACUGACGCUCAUGCACGAAAGCGUGGGGAGCAAACAGG